rnacentral:rRNA from 1 species
UGGGUAGUCCGUACGAGCGCACCUUGUCCCUAGUUGCCAGCACUUCGGGUGGGAACUCUAGGGAGACUGCCGGUGAUAAGCCGGAGGAAGGUGGGGAUGACGUCAAGUCAUCAUGGCCCUUAUGGGGAGGGCUACACACAUGCUACAAUGGCCGGUACAGAGGGCAGCGAAGCCGCGAGGUGAAGCGAAUCUCAGAAAACCGGUCGUAGUCCGGAUUGCAGUCUGCAACUCGACUGCAUGAAGCCGGAAUCGCUAGUAAUCGCGGAUCAGAACGCCGCGGUGAAUACGUUCCCGGGCCUUGUACACACCGCCCGUCACACCAUGGGAGUGGGCUGUACCAGAAGUAGGUAGUCUAACCUUCGGGAGGACGCUUACCACGGUGUGGUUCAUGACUGGGGUGAAGUCGUAACAAGGUAGCCCUAGGGGAACCUGGGGCUGGAUCACCUCCUUU